rfam:Ovis aries breed Texel chromosome 5, whole genome shotgun sequence.
UCUCUGGUGGUCCAAUGGCUAAGACUCCACCCUUCCAAUGCAGGGGUCCCAGGUUCAAUCCCUGGUCAGGGAA